CCUACGGGGGGCAGCAGUGAGGAAUAUUGGUCAAUGGCCGAGAGGCUGAACCAGCCAAGUCGCGUGAGGGAAGACGGCCCUACGGGUUGUAAACCCCUUUUGUCGGGGAGCAAAGCGAGUCACGUGUGACUCAUUGAGAGUACCCGAAGAAAAAGCAUCGGCUAACACAGUGACAGCAGCCGCGGUACUACGGAGGAUGCGAGCUUAAUCAGGAUUUAUUGGGUUUAAAGGGUGCGCAGUCGUGGGUGCAAGUUAGCGGGCAAAUUGCGGGGCUCAACCCCGUACUGCCGAUGAGACUGCAUGCCUUGAGUGCGUGAGAAGUAGGCGGAAUGCGUGGUGUAGCAGUGAAAUGCAUAGAUAUGACGAAGAACUCCGAUUGCGAAGGCAGCAUACCGGCGCGCAACUGACGCUCAUACACGAAAGCGUGGGUAUCGAACAGGAUUAGAUACCCCAGUAGUC
rnacentral:rRNA from 1 species